rnacentral:rRNA from 1 species
AUUGAACGCUGGCGGCAUGCCUUACACAUGCAAGUCGAACGGUAACAGGUCUUCGGAUGCUGACGAGUGGCGAACGGGUGAGUAAUACAUCGGAACGUGCCUAGUAGUGGGGGAUAACUACUCGAAAGAGUGGCUAAUACCGCAUGAGAUCUACGAAUGAAAGCAGGGGAUCGCAAGACCUUGUGCUACUAGAGCGGCCGAUGGCAGAUUAGGUAGUUGGUGGGAUAAAAGCUUACCAAGCCGACGAUCUGUAGCUGGUCUGAGAGGACGAUCAGCCACACUGGGACUGAGACACGGCCCAGGCUCCUACGGGAGGCAGCAGUGGGGAAUUUUGGACAAUGGGCGCAAGCCUGAUUCAGCAAUGCCGCGUGCAGGAUGAAGGCCUUCGGGUUGUAAACUGCUUUUGUACGGAACGAAAAGCCCUGGGUUAAUACCCUGGGGUCAUGACGGUACCGUAAGAAUAAGCACCGGCUAACUACGUGCCAGCCGCCGCGGUAAAAC